rnacentral:rRNA from 1 species
CAAUAGCGUAUAUUAAAGUUGUUGCAGUUAAAAAGCUCGUAGUUGGAUUUGUGGCGUACGGUGUGUUCCGGGCACUUGUUGUCUGAGUAACCUGCUGUUGCCAUCCUUGGGUGGAACCUGUGUGGCAUUAGGUUGUCGUGCAGGGGAUGCCCAUCAUUUACUGUGAAAAGAUUAGAGUGUUCAAAGCAGGCUUAUGCCGUUGAAUAUAUUAGCAUGGAAUAAUGAGAUAGGACUUUUUUGCUAUUUUGUUGGUUUGCGCAAGAAGGUAAUGAUUAAUAGGGACAGUUGGGGGUAUUCGUAUUCCAUUGUCAGAGGUGAAAUUCUUGGAUUUUUGGAAGACGAACUACUGCGAAAGCAUUUACCAAGGAUGUUUUCAUUAA